rnacentral:sRNA from 1 species
UUUUGCUUUCAAAUAACAGAAACCAUUAAGUUGUCACAUCCAGGCAGCCACGACCCCUAGUGCCAUAAAAAAAAUAUAUGGCUAUACGUUGGAAAUCGGAAAAACGGGAAAAGUGCCGAAAAGCUGGUGGAGUGCGACGGUAGCAUGAUUUUCGCCACUGGCUGUCGCGCUUUUCCGGGGGCAAAAAACGGGACCAGGAGUUGCCCCUUUGGUGCAAUGCAUUUGCAACUUAAUGCGCCGAAAGCUGCGAGUUUUUCGCUAAUGCACAAUUUGUAUGCGUCAACACUUUCGUCAGCGGAAAAGGGGCAGAACCAGCUAGCACCAAGUGGAGUUUCCACGGGCUUUCAUUUUUAUCAACGGAAAUAUCAAAAAGCCCAUUGAUAAGUUGGACUACCCACUGCCCACCAUCCAUCUUAUGCUUCUGCAAAUAGCUGCAUCCCAUCGCUUACCAAAGAACUAAGCCGAAAUGGAGGCCAAGUGAAUCAGUGACCUGCAAGACAUAAAAUCCUGUCCUCCUCAUCCGCAGCCUGCCGCUCGAUCCAGGGCCACCUGUUCGACGGCCAACUCUUUGGCAAUUUGUGUGCAUCGCCGACUGCAGAUGUUUUUCCUCUGCUCGGUUCGAGGUCUCGCUCCACAAACUUGCAGAUUUAUUGCCCAGAAACUUUUAUUGCCUGCAAGAAUAUGUACGGGCCGAGAUAAAGAUGCAAUCUGGAACUUGUUUGGCGAGUGGAACACUUUGCCAUCUGCCAUCCAAAAGAGUGUGGGGUAAUUGAAGUCACUCAGUCGUGGAGGUGGCACUAGUCCAGGUCGCAUUUGUCUAUCCCUGCGUUCCCAUUUAGACUCGGAUCUAGAUAUAUAAUUGAAAUUAAAUUUCAGGUUCUUUAAUACCAUAUUUGCCAAACUUAAAAGCAUGCUCCUAACGAUUGAUUGGACCGUUUACACAAACAUAAAUGUGCCCGAAAACGUUAUGAUUUACUUCAUUUUUGAUUUACUUGUUUUAUGUUUUUCUUUUUGAACAGCUUGCAGUAAACUUCGAACCUAAUCGGAAAUCUUAGCUCUAUUAACCUAUCGAUAGUUUUGUCACAACUUUCUCCCAUCCCUGAAAAAAGAGUGCAAGCAACUCUAAUUUUCUGCAUUUGAUGCCACUUGGAAACUUCUCAGAAUGGGGCCAGUGGAUCAAAACCCAGCAGCUAACCACGCUACGAGGAAAGGUAUUCAAAAAAAGGAAAAUAAGUUGCAAAAAUUAAAGGGGAGCAAUUGGAACGUGAAAAGUAAUAGCUUGCGGAAAGAAGGGUACCCAAAUGAGUCAGUUUGCAAAACCCAAGUUCAGACCGGUCCCAAUCCAACACUUAUUUCCGAUACGCACUACCAAUUGUUGGACUGAAGCUGCUACAAGAAUACCACCAGUGAUCUAUGCCACAUGGUCUUUGGGCGAGAGACAUUGGGAACCUAUUCAUUGACUGGGCGACCUGGCAGGUUCUCAGUGCUCCUGGCCAAGCAUUCCAAGCCCAAGCUAAAUUCCUCGAAGCUGAAGAACAUAGUGUUUCUGACCACACACAAGUUUCAGAUGGAUCGCAAGCAGGUGGAACUGGUGAUACGGCAGGUCUGCCGGAACGCAGCCAGAGGCUCGAGGAGGAAAGAUAAAUAAAGUCAACAUAUACUUUUGUAUUCACAAUAAAGAGUCCCAUUUCCAUA